CCAAAUAAUAACGAUAUAAUAGAAUCGUCACCAUCAUCAUCUUGCAAAUCUGGGACACAUCAACACAUUUCAACAAAAUGCAAUCGGAGUGAGGCGACUCACCUAAGCAACGGAAGCUAACAAGAAGAAUUUAGAAAUGCAACCUUCCGAUCACCAGCAGAGGUUGUUGUUGAAGUGUCCAUCUUCUCCUACUGAGAUGUAAGUGCCUCGACACAGAAACCUGGUUCAUUGAUUUUUUUUAUUUUAAUGCCAAGGACCUCCUUCACUAAAUGCCUGAAAUCAGAACAGAUUUUCCAGCACCUACAUGCCUAUUUAUUUCUCAAGCGCCUGACACCUAAAGGAGCAUUUUUCAUAUGGCUAGGACAUGACAUUUGGGAAAAGCAUCUUUCUAGGGGUGACAGCCUGGCACAGCAUAGACUUUCCUUCUGUUUUACAGUUCUACUGCAAUUUAAAUGUUAGAGUAAUUGGUCAGUUGGCCAUAAAUUGCAUGUACAGUUGACCUUUUAGCAAUGUGAGGGUUAGGGGUCUUCUGUGCAGUUGAAAAUCUGCUUAUAACAGUGAUUCCCCCUAGACUUAACUACCAAUAGCCCACUGUUGACCUGAAGCUUACUGAUCACAUCAACAGUCAAUGAACAUGUAUUUUGUAUGUUAUAUGGAUUUUAUAAUAUACCGUAUACUUACAAUAAAAAAGCUAGACAAAGAAAAUGUUACUAAGAAAACUAUAAGAGAAAAUAUGUUUAUAGUUACUGUAUUUAUUUUAUAAACUGUAUACAGUUCAAAGGUUAACUCUAUAUGUUUAGAAACUUUUGUAACCUCUUGGGAAGUCAUGGGAGAGGGAGUUAAGGGGUCAGAUGGGGCCAGGUGCGCUUUACUGAAGAGCAAUAAUUGUUGCCAUUAAUAUCUUUGCAGCCUCUCUUCCUACCACCAUAACCUGGAUACAUGGAUAUUUUUUCCUCCUCAAAGUAUUUUCCUGUCUUAAAUGUCCUGUAACUACCAUUUAUUCUUUCAGUAAAGCUUCAGAAAUUCAAUAUGAUUCUAUAGUGUCUCCAGACAGUC